UGGGGAAUAUUGCACAAUGGGCGCAAGCCUGAUGCAGCCAUGCCGCGUGUGUGAAGAAGGCCUUCGGGUUGUAAAGCACUUUCAGCGAGGAGGAAGGUGGUGAGCUUAAUACGCUCAUCAAUUGACGUUACUCGCAGAAGAAGCACCGGCUAACUCCGUGCCAGCAGCCGCGGUAAUACGGAGGGUGCAAGCGUUAAUCGGAAUUACUGGGCGUAAAGCGCACGCAGGCGGUUUGUUAAGUCAGAUGUGAAAUCCCCGGGCUCAACCUGGGAACUGCAUUUGAAACUGGCAAGCUAGAGUCUCGUAGAGGGGGGUAGAAUUCCAGGUGUAGCGGUGAAAUGCGUAGAGAUCUGGAGGAAUACCGGUGGCGAAGGCGGCCCCCCUGGACGAAGACUGACGCUCAGGUGCGAAAGCGUGGGGCAGCAAACAGGAUUAGAUACCCUGGUAGUCCAGCGCUGUAAACGAUGUCGAUUUGGAGGCUGUGCCCUUGAGGCGUGGCUUCCGGAGCUAACGCGUUAAAUCGACCGCCUGGGGAGUACGGCCGCAAGGUUAAAACUCAAAGGAAUUGA
rnacentral:rRNA from 1 species